rnacentral:rRNA from 1 species
GACGAACGCUGGCGGCAUGCCUAAUACAUGCAAGUCGAGCGAACAGAUGAAGUGCUUGCACUUUUGACGUUAGCGGCGAACGGGUGAGUAACACGUAAGGAAUCUACCUAUAAGCGGGGGAUAACAUUCGGAAACGGGUGCUAAUACCGCAUAAUAUCUUCUUCCGCAUGGAAGAAGAUUGAAAGACGGCUCUGCUGUCACUUAUAGAUGACCUUGCGGUGCAUUAGUUAGUUGGUGGGGUAACGGCCUACCAAGACGAUGAUGCAUAGCCGACCUGAGAGGGUGAUCGGCCACAUUGGGACUGAGACACGGCCCAAACUCCGACGGGAGGCAGCAGUAGGAAAUCUUCCGCAAUGGGCGAAAGCCUGGCGGAGCAGUGCCGCGUGAGUGAAGAAGGCCUUCGGGUCGUAAAACUCUGUUAUAAGAGAAGAACAAAUUGUAGAGUAACUGCUACAGUCUUGACGGUAUCUUAUCAGAAAGCCACGGCUAACUACGUGCCAGCCGCCGCAGUAA